rnacentral:rRNA from 1 species
CUAGAUGGGGUAUCCCUACAUAGCGGGUGGGACCCACGGCGAAUGGUUCAUCAAGUCUUCAAAAAAGAAUAUAUACGAUUGCAUUGCAAAUACUAACGGAUGCGAUCAUACCAGCACUAAUGCACCGGAUCCCAUCAGAACUCCGCAGUUAAGCGUGCUUGGGCGAGAGUAGUACUAGGAUGGGUGACCUCCCGGGAAGUCCUCGUGUUGCAUCCCUC